rnacentral:rRNA from 1 species
GACGAACGCUGGCGGCGUGCUUAACACAUGCAAGUCGAACGGAAAGGCCCUGCUUUUGUGGGGUGCUCGAGUGGCGAACGGGUGAGUAACACGUGAGUAACCUGCCCUUGACUUUGGGAUAACUUCAGGAAACUGGGGCUAAUACCGGAUAGGAGCUCCUGCUGCAUGGUGGGGGUUGGAAAGUUUCGGCGGUUGGGGAUGGACUCGCGGCUUAUCAGCUUGUUGGUGGGGUAGUGGCUUACCAAGGCUUUGACGGGUAGCCGGCCUGGGAGGGUGACCGGUGACAUUGGGACUGCGGUACGGCCCAGACUCCUACGUGAGGCAGCAGUGGGGAAUAUUGCGCAAUGGGCGGAAGCCUGAUGCAGCAACGCCGCGUGCGGGAUGACGGCCUUCGGGUUGUAAACCGCUUUCGCCUGUGCUGAAGCGUGAGUGACGGUAAUGGGUAAAGAAGCACCGGCUAACUACGUG